rnacentral:lncRNA from 1 species
CCUUAGGGCUUGCCUUCAGGUUGGUCUGUCCUUCGUGUCUGAGUGUCUGACAGAUUUCUGGAGGAGCUUGGGGAAGGAUACAAAGAGAAGAUGGGACAAUCUGGACACAGCCACUUGCAUUGUUUAUCAUCUAUAAUUGCCCAUAAUCUACAUGUGUGACCUUAGUAUGGUGCAGGAAGGACAUCACUGAAUGUAGCUAAGGAAACCUUUGACAGCAUCCGAGGGCAAAUAAUCGCAGCCUGUAGAGGAAACGGUCUGAGCACUGCCCGUAGUACAGCAGUCCUUUGUCUCCUGGGGAUGAAGAAACCCUGGAGGACAGAGAUUGGGGAGGACCUGGCAUGGUGACGGUGCCCACGCUGGUUAGGUCACCUGAUGUCCUUGCACAGAUCCAAAGUCGGAUGUUUUCUGGUUUGAGGGUCACUCCACUGAUACAGGGAAUGAGGUCAUGGUCUGCAGGCUCCCCAGGCACUGAGUGGACUUGGAACACAGCGCUGUACUUUGGAGUAAAGCUGGUGUGGGAACCUCGGCCCUGAGUGAAGGAGAGGAUCUCUUGCUUCCAAGCAGGCCCUGGUUAAGGAAUUUGUUUCUUGGUUGAGUAACAUUUUUGAUGAAAUAAGCAACAAAACGCAGGGCAUCAGAAUGACCGCUGCAGUAAUGAAACAAUUGAGAUGCCCACCAAAGACAGCUGGAAAUCGGACAACGAAGAUGGAGAAGACUUAACAGUUUUAAUAAACUGGAACCAAGUGACAACACGCGUAGUUCAGUUUUGCCGUGCUCUGGCCUGAGUUUGAAGCUGGAAUACUUGUAGCAGUUUGAGUAAGGAGUGUCUAGGAGUGGCUCUCUGAGUUUUUCCUGCUUGAAGUAGAAGAUUAGUAUUGUUUACAAUAUUCCACAAUUUGGGGCCGUUAUUUCAAGAAUUUUUCUGUGCCUGCUCUGCUCUCUGGAUUCCCCUCUUGUACAGUGUGCUGCUGUCUGAGAUCUUACCAUUGGAUUCUCUUCAUUUUUCUGCAUUCCUCAGACUUGGUAAUCUCUUCAAAUUCACCGAUUCUUCUUCCUGCUUAAAGCUGUUGUUGCACUGCUCUAGUAAAUUUCUCAC